AGAGUGUUAUGAUGUUGGAGCUUUGCUCCGAGUCUAGCUCAGCGCUACUCCCCAAGUUUUUAGCUUGGGGAG
rfam:Enterococcus thailandicus strain F0711D 46 Ent-16_S35_L001_001_4, whole genome shotgun sequence.